rnacentral:misc_RNA from 1 species
GAUGAAGAACGCAGCGAAAUGCGAUAAGUAAUGUGAAUUGCAGAAUUCAGUGAAUCAUCGAGUCUUUGAACGCACAUUGCGCCCCCUGGUAUUCCGGGGGGCAUGCCUGUCCGAGCGUCAUUGCUGCCCUCAAGCACGGCUUGUGUGUUGGGCCCCGCCCCCGGCUCCCGGGGGGCGGGCCCGAAAGGCAGCGGCGGCACCGCGUCCGGUCCUCGAGCGUAUGGGGCUUCGUCACCCGCUCCGUAGGCCCGGCCGGCGCCCGCCGGCGACCCCCCUCAAUCUUUUCAGGUUGACCUCGGAUCAGGUAGGGAUACCCGCUGAACUUAAGCAUAUCAAUAAGCAGGA